rnacentral:rRNA from 1 species
GCCCUACGGGGGGCUGCAGGCGCGAAAACUUUACAAUGCGAGAAAUCGUGAUAAGGGAACCCCGAGUGCCCGUAAAUUCGGGCUGUCCGCCAGUGUAAAUAACUGGUGAAGAAAGGGCCGGGCAAGACCGGUGCCAGCCGCCGCGGUAAUACCGGCGGCUCGAGUGGUGGCCACUAUUACUGGGCUUAAAGCGUCCGUAGCUGGAUUGUUAAGUCUCUUGGGAAAUCCACCGGCGCAACCGAUGGGCGUUCAGGAGAAACUGGCAAUCUAGGGACCGGGAGAGGUGAGAGGUACUCCAGGGGUAGGAGUGAAAUCCUGUAAUCCUUGGGGGACCACCUGUGGCGAAGGCGUCUCACUAGAACGGCUCCGACAGUGAGGGACGAAAGCUGGGGGAGCAAACCGGAUUAGAUACCCUGGUAGUC